rnacentral:rRNA from 1 species
UACGGGGGGGGCAAGCGUUGUUCGGAAUUACUGGGCGUAAAGGGCUCGUAGGCGGCCAACUAAGUCGGAUGUGAAAUCCCCAAGCUUAACUUGGGAACUGCAUCCGAUACUGGAUGGCUUGAAUCCGGGAGAGGGAUGCAGAAUUCCAGGUGUAGCGGUGGAAUGCGUAGAUAUCUGGAGGAAUACCGGUGGCGAAGGCGGCAUCCUGGACCGGCAUUGACGCUGAGGAGCGAAAGCUAGGGGAGCAAACGGG